UAAAAAACUUAAUGUCAUCAAAACAAUUAUUGAUCCCUUAUUAGUGGCAGUAGAAUUGUUAUUUUUAUGGUCACAUAGUAAAAUAAUGUUUGUAUACCUUCAGAUGAGAUAAUUAUAAAAGGGGGAUAAAAUGUAGUAUGUAGAGGGUAGUUUAGUUUCAGCUUUGCAUAGAAAUGUAACUAUCUCAGCUCUGUCAUUCUUUAAAUUAUUAGAUGCUAUAGCUACAUUAGAUGUAUAUAUUAUACUAGAUGUAUAGUUAUAUUAAACAGAUAAUUAUAAUUC